rnacentral:tRNA from 1 species
UCCCAGGUGGCUCAGAUGGUAAAGCAUCUGCCUGCAAUGCGGGAGACCUGGGUUCAAUCCCUGGGUUGGGAU